rnacentral:lncRNA from 1 species
GAUCUGAUGCCCUCUGCUGGGUGUCUGAAAACAGCUACAGUGUACUCCUUUACAUAAAUAAAUCUUUUAUAAAAAAAAAAAAAAGAAAGAAAAAAAAUUGUCCUCUGACCUACACACACACACACACUAAAUGUUUUAUAAAAAAAAAAAAAAAAAAAAGCCAGAGGUGGUGGCAUACAUCUUUAAUCCCAUCACUUAGGAGGCAGAGGCAGAUGGAUCUCUUGAGUUUGAGGCCAGCCUGAUCUACAGAGUGAGUUCCAGGGUAGCCAGGGCUCCACAGAAUAAAUUCUGUCUCAAUAAAAUAAAAUAAAAAUAAAGAAUGUAAUUCCUUAGCAAAUAGUCUUAGAAAGGGCCUCCGUCAGUAAGGUUAGAACAGAAGGGCUUAGAAAGCUCACAGGGGCAGGGGCUCACACCUGUGAACCCAGCAGGUAAGAGAAAUAGGUAAAAUCAAAUGACAUUCAGACUUAGCAGUUCCAUGUCUUUUAGUUAUAAACUAGUCUUCUUGUUACUAUAACUACAUCAUAUUUUAGUCUAGUUUCUUUUACAUGUUUGUGUAUGUGUUUUUUAUAUGUGUGAGUGUAUGUGUGCUCCUCUUAGACAAGAGAUUGAUAUCAAAUAUUUUCAUCCGUUACUUUCCAGCUAAUAAACUGAGGCAGAGUUCUCACUAGAACCUAGAGCUUACCAGUUCUACUAGUCUUGCCGGCUUACCCUGAGUACCCCCUGCCUCUGCCCCCCAUGCAUACUUACUGUCCCGGCAUUUAUGUGGGUGCUGGAGAUCUGAACUUAGGUCCUUUCACUUUGCAUGAUAGCACGCUCUCUGCUGAGCGUGUCCCUAGCCCCAGCAUUUGGGUUUUCUUAUAGGUUCACAGUUGUUAGCAUAUUAAUUCUUUUCUUGAUAAAACCUUUUCGUUGAGUUAAUAUGUGUUUGAAUGUUAGCUUAUAUUGGUAGUUAGCUUUCCUAAAUGUAAAAGAACUAUUUGGCAAUUGGUAACACAUAACAUGUUUCUAUUUUUGUUUGUGUGGUUGUUUCUUGUCUUAAGGAGACAGGCUGAUAGCAGUGUUGAAAGGUUUCUACAGUAGAUGUCUCUAUAGGUGGUUUACACCAUGCUUAAUUUAUAGAAGGUGUGGGGUAAAUGUGAUCUAUUAAAUAUUUAAUAUGAAAAUAAAAAUAUUUUCCCUAAUUGAUAUAGCUUAAACCCUUUCUGUUUCUUGAGUUCAGGGUCAUAUAGAAAUUUUUGAUACAGGAAUAAAUCAACUACCAAAUUAAAUGCAUGUGUUCCAUGUAGGUAAUAGUUACUGAGAAGUGACUUAUAGUAGCUUUACCUAAUCAUCAGAAUCUUUUUGAUUACACUUAAUAAAUCACUUCUAAACUGAUCUAAAAUAUGCUUGUGUAUACUUACAAUUACCUUGCAUGGCUUUCUGACGUGGGUUCGUGUUGUAAACAUGCCUGUUUUGUUCAUAUGUCUUGAGAGAACAAGCAUUGUGACAUAUACUAGGUUGAUUUAAAGUAGAUUGCCUGUGAAACACAGUUUGAGUCCAGUUUUUUUUUUUGAGGUAUGGAGUUUUAGCUAUCGUGGCUGGGUUUUUACUCAAUCUCAAAUAAUAGGGCUCUGGUUAUUUUGCAGAGUGUCUCUGAAGAAUGGACAGAAUUGCCCUGGCUAACUACAAGCUACGGUUCACAGUGGAUAAAUGUUGGCGUGCUUUUUUACUUUCUGACUUUUUAAAACUUUGUUUCAUAUCUUGUAGUUUCCAAUCAAUCUUAAUAUAAAUGCUGUUAAGAAAUUCAGUAUAAAAUCUUAGUUUAAAAGUAAAAUGUGUUUGUGUAUCCUUCGAUGAUUUAGCAUUUCUAAAAAUGUCAAGUUCUCAAAAUUUACCCUAGCCCAGAAUGUGGGUGUAUAUUCAUCUGAGAAAAUGAAGUAAUUAGCCUAGGGAAUAUAUACAGCUUUUUAAUCCUUUAGUUUUCAAUUUUGUAUUUUAAUUUUUUUAAAUGACUAUGUAACAUAUGGUGCCAAUUAGUAAAUAAAUUGCAUGGUUAAAGAAAGCCAAAGUAGCUAAGAACUUUGUAAUUGCUAAGUGCUUCAUAGGAACAUCUGCUUUCACCAUGCUUAAUAUUGAGAUGUUCAUAAAACAUUUUGAAAUGGAAAACUCUCUUUAUACUAUAGAUUUAUAUUUAAGACAUUGAUUUGCAUGUCUAUAAAAUUAACCCUCAUUAGCCAAUAAAUACGUUUAUUAGAAUAAAAGGUGAACUUUUAUUAACGGUUUACUGUUAGUGAAGGUGAAAUGUAAAAGUGAAUUGUAUUUGGCUCUCAUUUUAUGCCUAGAGGAUGGUUUACAAAACUCAAUUUCUGGUGGCUUCUGUUUCAGAGAUGCCCGUGUGGUAAAAGACAUGGCUACCGGGAAGUCUAAGGGAUAUGGCUUUGUCUCCUUUUUCAACAAAUGGGUGAGCACAAUCAUAAGUGCAUAUCCAGGACCAUAGAGGAGGGUGAAGGAAAGCGUCAGCUUGUUAUCUGCUAGUGUUCAGUUCACUAAGAGUAAGCACCUUCACUAGAAAACAGCCUGUUCUAUUCUGGUUGGUUCUUUAGUCAUUUAGCACCAACACAUGCAAAAUGCUGAUACUGUAUUUCAAACUGUGCAAAGUAAAAAUGCUUAUCACC